UAUAGAUAUAUUUUCGCUCAAGAUAAGCCAUGCAUGUCUAAGUAUAAGCAAUUAUACAGUGAAACUGCGAUGGCUCAUAAAUCAGUAUCGUUUAUUUGAUAGUACCUUUACUACUUGGAUAACCCGUGGUAAUUCUAGAGCUAAUACAUGCUAAAAAUCCCGACUGUUUGGAAGGGAUGUAUUUAUUAGAUAAAAAAUCAAUGCUCUUUGAGCUCUUUGAUGAUUCAUAAUAACUUUUCGAAUCGCAUGGCCUUGUGCUGGCGAUGGUUCAUUCAAAUUUCUGCCCUAUCAACUUUCGAUGGUAGGAUAGUGGCCUACCAUGGUUUCAACGGGUAACGGGGAAUAAGGGUUCGAUUCCGGAGAGGGAGCCUGAGAAACGGCUACCACAUCCAAGGAAGGCAGCAGGCGCGCAAAUUACCCAAUCCCGACACGGGGAGGUAGUGACAAUACAUAACGAUACAGGGCCCUUUCGGGUCUUGUAAUUGGAAUGAGUACAAUGUAAAUACCUUAACGAGGAACAAUUGGAGGGCAAGUCUGGUGCCAGCAGCCGCGGUAAUUCCAGCUCCAAUAGCGUAUAUUAAAGUUGUUGCAGUUAAAAAGCUCGUAGUUGAACUUUGGGCUUGGUUGGCCGGUCCGCCUUUUUGGCGAGUACUGGACCCAACCGAGCCUUUCCUUCUGGCUAACCAUUCGCCCUUGUGGUGUUUGGCGAACCAGGACUUUUACUUUGAAAAAAUUAGAGUGUUCAAAGCAGGCCUUUGCUCGAAUAUAUUAGCAUGGAAUAAUAGAAUAGGACGUUAUGGUUCUAUUUUGUUGGUUUCUAGGACCAUCGUAAUGAUUAAUAGGGACGGUCGGGGGCAUCAGUAUUCAGUUGUCAGAGGUGAAAUUCUUAGAUUUACUGAAGACUAACUACUGCGAAAGCAUUUGCCAAGGACGUUUUCAUUAAUCAAGAACGAAAGUUAGGGGAUCGAAGAUGAUCAGAUACCGUCGUAGUCUUAACCAUAAACUAUGCCGACUAGGGAUCGGGUGUUGUUCUUUUUUUGACGCACUCGGCACCUUACGAGAAAUCAAAGUCUUUGGGUCUGGGGAGUAUCCAUGCC
rnacentral:rRNA from 1 species